GGCAGGAAAUCAAGCCAGAUCCUGGGAAAGGGCCUUCUUGCUAAUGAACUGGCCAACCAGGCCCCUGUAAAUCCACUGACCCAUCACUAACUUACUAUGUGACUCUGCUCUCUGGGCCUCAGGCUCCUGCUCUAUAAUCAGGAGGGGACAAGGGGAGAAGCAGCGUGGUGGGAUUUAGAUGGCAAGCAUGCCUGGUAGUGGCAGGGCCAUCCGUGAACUGAGCUGAGGACAUUACAGGCCCUGGAGUGGCUGUGAGGAGCCAGGUGGCUGGAGAUGGCAGAGGCUUUGUCCUCUCUUGGAAAAGGCAGAUGAUAUUCUUUUUUAACCAACAAGCUUACCAUGUACCUGACUGCACAAAGUCUACACAGACUCACUUCAGCUUCUCCACAUUCCCAGAGAGGGUGUUUGCUACUCUGAUGGACAAACGGACAGGGGACGCAACUGUCCAGUAUCACUCGGUUCAGGGUGUUUCAUCACCCCCGAAUCCAUCAUUAAAUACUUCCAUCAGGAUUCUGAGAGGAACCCUGGAAGAGACCCCUCUAGAAGGCUGCUCCUGCCCCACAGAGCUCUGUGUUGUAUCACCAAUAAUUCCUCCUC
ensembl:lncRNA